rnacentral:snRNA from 1 species
GGCGCCGUCUGUGGGGAU